UCCCUCGUGCUGCUCAUCUUCAACAAGCUGGCCGACGCGCGGUCGCUGGGGCGCUGCUCCGCGGUGUCGCGCCGCUUCAGCGCGCUGGUCCCGCUCGUGGACGACGCCUGCUCGCCGUCCUCAAGUCCGUGCUGCUCGCCGUGCUCAAGCCCUUCGCGCACUGCGACGCCAAGUCCGCGUCGCCGCAAAAGCACGCGCAGCAGCACCACUCGCCCGCCCAGGUGCUGAGGAACUUCAGCAGCAUCCGCAGCCUCCGGAUGGAGCUCCCGGUCUCCGACGUGGGCACCGACGACGGCGUCGUGCUCAGGUGGAAGGCCGUGUUCGGCAGCACGCUGCAGAGCUGCGUCAUCCUCGGCGGCACCAGGGUGGACCGCGCCGCGGCCGCGGGACCGCCGCACGCCCCCUCCUCCGCUCCCCCCGCGGGCGACGACGACGGCGGCAGCAUCCCGGAGUCCCUGUACACCAACGGCGGCCUCAAGCUGCGCGUCGUCUGGACCAUCAGCUCCCUCAUCGCCGCGGCCACCAGGCACUACCUCCUUCGCGAGAUCGUCAAGGAGCACCCCACCCUGGAGCGGGUGGCGCUGACGGACGCCGGCGGGCAGGGCACGCUCAGCAUGGGGCGCGACCAGCUCAGGGAGUUCAGGGACAGUCCGCUCGCCGCCGCGCCCGCCGCCGCCGCCAACCGAACCCAGGUGCCCGCCUGCAACAUGAAGCUGCGCUACGCGCCGCUGCUGGAGCUCUCGGACGGCACCAGGAUCCACGGCGCCACGCUCGUGGUCAUCAAGCCCAUCGGCGACGCCGGCGGGAAGGACCUCGACGAGCUCGGCGCCGGCGCCUUCGACGGGCCCAUGAAGGAGGCCGUGGCCGCGCUCGGCAAGCGCCGCGCCUACCUGCUCGAGAUGAACGGCUUCUAGUCUGCGCGCCUCUCUG